UCACCGACCAAGCAGGGCAAAGAUAU
rnacentral:misc_RNA from 1 species